CUCCGUCCACUCCACGCAUCGACC
rnacentral:piRNA from 2 species